rnacentral:rRNA from 1 species
GGGCCCGCACAAGCGGUGGAGCAUGUGGUUUAAUUCGAUGAUACGCGAGGAACCUUACCAGGGCUUAAAUGCAGAACGACCGGGGUGGAAACACCCCUUCUUCGGCGGUCUGCAAGGUGCUGCAUGGUUGUCGUCAGCUCGUGCUGUGAAGUGUCGGGUUAAGUCCCAUAACGAGCGCAACCCCUAUUUCUAGUUGCCAGCGGUUCGGCCGGGGACUCUAGAGAAACUGCCAGCGUAAGCUGAGAGGAAGGUGGGGAUGACGUCAAAUCAUCACGGCCCUUACGUCCUGGGCCACACACGUGCUACAAUGGUGGGGACAACAAGUUGCCAACCCGCGAGGGUGAGCUAAUCUCAAAACCCCAUCUCAGUUCGGAUCGGAGUCUGCAACUCGACUCCGUGAAGUUGGAAUCGCUAGUAAUCGCGCAUC